rnacentral:rRNA from 1 species
GUAACGGCGAGUGAAGCGGCAACAGCUCAAAUUUGAAAUCUGGCCUCCUCGGGGUCCGAGUUGUAAUUUGUAGAGGGUGUUUCGGGCGCGAUGCCGGUCUAAGUUCCUUGGAACAGGACGUCGUAGAGGGUGAGAAUCCCGUAUGCGACCGGCGAUCAAGCCUGUGUGAAGCCCCUUCGACGAGUCGAGUUGUUUGGGAAUGCAGCUCAAAAUGGGUGGUAAAUUUCAUCUAAAGCUAAAUACUGGCCAGAGACCGAUAGCGGACAAGUAGAGUGAUCGAAAGAUGAAAAGCACUUUGGAAAGAGAGUCAAACAGUACGUGAAAUUGUUGAAAGGGAAGCGCUUGCAAUCAGACCGGUCCGGAGGUGAUCAGCCGCUGCUCGUCAGCGGUGCACUCGCCUGCGAUCCGGCCAGCAUCGGUUCGGGCGGUGGGAUAAAAGUCCCGGGAAUGUAGCUUCCUUCGGGGAGUCUUAUAGCCCGGGUCGCAAUGCCGCCCGCCCGGACCGAGGACCGCGCUUCGGCU